UAAUACAGAGGGUGCAAGCGUUAAUCGGAAUUACUGGGCGUAAAGCGAACGUAGGCGGUUACCUAAGUCGGAUGUGAAAUCCCCGGGCUCAACCUGGGAAUUGCAUUCGAGACUGGAUAGCUAGAAUGCGGAAGAGGGAAGCGGAAUUUCCGGUGUAGCGGUGAAAUGCGUAGAUAUCGGAAGGAACAUCAGUGGCGAAAGCGGCUUCCUGGUCCAGCAUUGACGCUCAGGUUCGAAAGCGUGGGGAGCAAACAGG
rnacentral:rRNA from 1 species